rnacentral:tRNA from 1 species
GCAGAUGUGGCGGAAUAGGCAGACGCGCUGGAUUCAGGUUCCAGUGGUGGCAACACCUUGUGGGUUCAAGUCCCAUCAUCUGCACCA